CGGGUGAGUAGCACGUAUCCAACCUGCCGUCUACUCUUGGCCAGCCUUCUGAAAGGAAGAUUAAUCCAGGAUGGCAUCAUGAGUUCACAUGUCCGCAUGAUUAAAGGUAUUUUCCGGUAGACGAUGGGGAUGCGUUCCAUUAGAUAGUAGGCGGGGUAACGGCCCACCUAGUCUUCGAUGGAUAGGGGUUCUGAGAGGAAGGUCCCCCACAUUGGAACUGAGACACGGUCCAA
rnacentral:rRNA from 1 species